rnacentral:lncRNA from 1 species
UAGACGUAUGCAUGAAGUAUUAAAUAUAGACGAAAAUAAAAACUAAUUGCACAGUUUGGUCGGAAUUGAUGAGAUGAAUCUUUUGAGUCUAGUUAGUCCAUAGUUACACAAUAAUUACCAAAAAAAAAGAUGCUACAGUAUCAUGAAUUUUUUUUCCUUCGUACUUAGACUGACCGGCCAGGCAGGUCAACCACAAUGAAGUAAUAAACCAGUCCACAUUAGCCAUUAAAAAAAUUCUCC